GGGUGCUUAGCUCAGUUGGUGAGAGCCACGGCCUUAUAAGCCGUAAUCCCUAACAAGGUAAACGUGGGUUCGAAUCCCACAACACCCA
rnacentral:tRNA from 1 species